AUACGUAGGUGGCAAGCGUUAUCCGGAUUUAUUGGGCGUAAAGCGAGCGCAGGCGGUCUUUUAAGUCUGAUGUGAAAGCCCUUGGCUCAACCAAGGAAGUGCAUCGGAAACUGGAGAACUUGAGUGCAGAAGAGGACAGUGGAACUCCAUGUGUAGCGGUGAAAUGCGUAGAUAUAUGGAAGAACACCAGUGGCGAAGGCGGCUGUCUGGUCUGUAACUGACGCUGAGGCUCGAAAGCAUGGGUAGCGAACAGGAUUAGAUACCCUGGUAGUCCAUGCCGUAAACGAUGAAUGCUAAGUGUUGGAGGGUUUCCACCCUUCAGUGCUGCAGCUAACGCAUUAAGCAUUCCGCCUGGGGAGUACGACCGCAAGGUUGAA
rnacentral:rRNA from 1 species